rnacentral:lncRNA from 1 species
CAUCCACAAAGGGUGACGGGAAGGCCCGACAGCCAUGCAGGCCUUGCGGCAAGCGGCAACAGGAUCAACGUUAGAAUCCGAAGUGCCCGCUAUAUCAAGGAGGUCCGAAUUCGGGAUUGGCCAUGUUAUAACUUCACCGGCAGCCUCCAGGUCCUUCGUUGAUGCGAAUUCUACACGAAGACUGUGGUGCUUGGUUGGAUGUGCAGUAAGCUGGGUGUUGACGAUCAGCUGAGAAAACUGGCCUGCGCGAGAACGGGUGUUCAAACGGAACGUGCUCGGCCUCAGGAAAAGCGCCAUUACUUCGGACAGAAGUGACGCUCGCCGACGCAUUGCUUGCAGUCACAUCUUGAGCGGGCCCGUUGUACGCCGAUAGAUCCGCAGAAGGUGCUUGCUCCUCUAAAUCCUGUUGGGGAGAGAAUUACCCCUUCCACUGUUGUCCUUGGUCCGGUAUCCAAAAGCUCACCUUUGUCGAGGCAAAGUCAUCCUUUUUCCGCAGUUUUCGCUGCUGGCAAUUUGAUAGGCUGCUGUGCUCACCGCCAUCGCCGGCACCAGCCGAUAUGUGCUUCUCAUUCGGGCUCGCCAAAGCGUCAAGCAAAUCCUGGUCGGGGCCAUCCAUGCCCUGAAGUAAUACCUAAUAAGCCCACACCUGGCCGCGGUGUGUGACCAUGUUACUCCUCACCCCAGGGUUUACGACACGUCCAAGAGCCUCAGAGAACUCAUCAAGCCUCGAUUGGUCGUGAAAAUCCAUAUCUAAUGUGACUGUCUCCACUUCUUCAAAACUAAAGUUUUUGCCUGAUGGUGCCCUGCUUCAAAAGUCGGUUGAAUGGUAGACUGAGCUCAGCGUUCUCACAGUCCUCAGGAGCUAGCAUGAGUUGCAGACUAGCACGCGAGUCCUCGUAUGACACUGCCUUCAAGCAAUAAAGAGGGACCUCGAAAUGCUCCUCCUGGCGGCGCAGAUGGAUAUUUGCGGCGGGAAAGUGCAGUGGGACGACUUACAGCAUCCUGGUCGCUUUUCACAACGAUGGAAAACUGUUCCACCACCACCCGACCGGAAAAAGCCUUGUCCUGAUCUUCUUGUUCUCUGAAAACCAUUCAUACGUGCCAGGACCGUCAGGCAGCUCACCUCCACCUCAAUAUGCGAAGCCAUUUCUAUGGGCUUCCCCCUCUCAACAGAUCUUUGUGUCAAAUAAGUGCUGAUGAACGCACUUUUCUCCAUUCCGUCAAACACAGGCAUGUGUUCUCUGUGUUGAAGGGGAGCCAGUACUGCUUUAACAAACUUUAGCGCUCUCCUGGUUGAGGAUAUGUUAGCAAGUCCGAGUCUCGUUGCAUUCUCGAUGCCAUGAAACGUCACGCUUGCUGUUGAGCGGAAAUAUAUAUAGGUAGUGCCAAACGAGAAAGUACAUUCAUCUUCGGUCUCACAGUAUAACGCUCUGAGCUCCUCGUGAGCUGCUGUCUCGGCCGCAUUUGCGAUCUCGGUGAGCAGUUCAUCAAACUGAACGUGAUCGGAACGUUGAAGCGACAAUUACUACACUG